rnacentral:ncRNA from 1 species
CUUAUCCGGAGUGACGGAGUGAACAGGCACUAUGAAGUCCGGCAACCUACCAUAUUGGCAAGGUGCUAAAUCCUGCGGUUCUGCCGAAAGAUGAG